rnacentral:lncRNA from 1 species
AGCCAGAUUUCCUAGCUGCAAAUGGGUGCUAAAAAGUCCCAACAGAAAGAUGGAGGAAAAAAAGGUGACUCCAACUGCAAUGCCAAAGAAUAAAGAGCCACUGCUUUUGUCCACCAAUCCAUCAUCCACUCUGGGGAAAGCCAGCUGCCAUAUUUUGAACAGCCCUAUGGAGACAGCUUACAACAGACAACUUAGUGAGAAAUGGAGGUCUCCAGAUAACAACCUGAGAAAAACUGAGGCUCAGCCAGAAAAUAAUAGAAAGGAAAGACUGCAGAGGGACUUGGUGCCAGAAGGCUUCAGAGACAGCUGUCCCUGCAGCACGUGGAUCCCUCCUUCCCCAGGCGUGACUGCCUUUCCUGGCAGGUACUCCAAGCCACCAACGGAACAAAGAAGAAACAAAGCCACAGCAACCAUUCAAACCAGUAACUGGAGAUUUGAGACCUGGCAGCUUGAAAGCUUCCAGUGAAAACUUCUGAAGGCUGUCCCUUGGGGCAAGUAGAUUAAUUGUUAUUUGGGUAAGAAGAGAG